rnacentral:lncRNA from 1 species
UCCCCAUGCUGCCAAAAUAAUACCUAAAUGGUAUCUCAAGGAUAAGGACCUUAAGAGCCUGUGCAGUCCCAAGGCAUAAAACAUUUUUAUUUUUUUUUUGCAUUAUAGGAGCUCAAACAGAACAAAUCAUUGCCUGCUGAAAAACAAAUAGUGACUGCUAAUCCUGAUAUCCGCACUGAGAUUGAGCAUUUUGAUGUAAAAACAUCAUUUCUACAGAACAAAUCAUUGCCUGCUGAAAAACAAAUAGUGACUGCUAAUCCUGAUAUCCGCACUGUAAGUAAACUAUGGCUUAUGAUUCCUUUCGAAUCCGUAGAACAAUGAAAGUUGUUGGAGGAAGAUUUUCUACAGAAUUUACUAUAUUUAUGGGUACAGCUAGGUUGUGAGUUCGAGUCUCCCCAAGAGCAAGGUGGGAAGUUCUUAGAGGGAAAAAUGCCGGGGGUCUAUUUGGAAACAGCCUCUCUACCCCAGGGUAGAGGUAAGGUCUGCGUACAAACUACCCUCCCCAGACCCCACUAUGUGGGAUUAUACUGGGUUGUU